GUAUUGUAUUGCGUUAAACGCGACAUACAUUCUAUGAAACUGUGUGUGUGUAAAGACGUAGAACCACAGCGGGAGGACAGAGUCCCCCACACCACAGAACUACAGAGGGUGCACAGGUGUGAGUGGGUAUGUAAACAGAGCGUGCACAUGCCCCCAUUUGAGGACCAGCAACAACUCGUGUUGACAGUUCAGUAAUGAUCCUUCCGCAGGUUCACCUACGGAAA
rnacentral:misc_RNA from 1 species